rnacentral:rRNA from 1 species
UUGAACGCUGGCGGCAUGCCUUACACAUGCAAGUCGAACGGCAGCACGGGAGCAAUCCUGGUGGCGAGUGGCGAACGGGUGAGUAAUAUAUCGGAACGUGCCCAAUCGUGGGGGAUAACGCAGCGAAAGCUGUGCUAAUACCGCAUACGAUCUACGGAUGAAAGCGGGGGAUCGCAAGACCUCGCGCGGACGGAGCGGCCGAUGGCAGAUUAGGUAGUUGGUGGGAUAAAAGCUUACCAAGCCGACGAUCUGUAGCUGGUCUGAGAGGACGACCAGCCACACUGGGACUGAGACACGGCCCAGACUCCUACGGGAGGCAGCAGUGGGGAAUUUUGGACAAUGGGCGAAAGCCUGAUCCAGCCAUGCCGCGUGCAGGAUGAAGGCCUUCGGGUUGUAAACUGCUUUUGUACGGAACGAAAAAGUCUUCUCUAAUACAGGGGGCGAAUGACGGUACCGUAAGAAUAAGCACCGGCUAACUACGU